rnacentral:rRNA from 1 species
AUGGUGGAAACAAAUAAGCAUAUUACGUUUCCUUUGGUUUAUCAUCUUUUAAAGCUAGUACUGAUGUUGCCAGUUGCCACAGCAUUAGUGGAGAGAUGUUUUUCAGCUAUGAAUGUUGUAAAAAAAGUUACGCUACAAAAUGGGUGA